ACAAUGGUAGGAGAGCGUUCUAAGGGCGUUGAAGCAUGAUCGUAAGGACAUGUGGAGCGCUUAGAAGUGAGAAUGCCGGUGUGAGUAGCGAAAGACGGGUGAGAAUCCCGUCCACCGAUUGACUAAGGUUUCCAGAGGAAGGCUCGUCCGCUCUGGGUUAGUCGGGUCCUAAGCUGAGGCCGACAGGCGUAGGCGAUGGAUAACAGGUUGAUAUUCCUGUACCACCUAUAAUCGUUUUAAUCG
rnacentral:rRNA from 1 species